ensembl:snRNA U1 U1 spliceosomal RNA
AUCCUCACCUGGCAGGAGAGAGACCAUGGCCGUAAAAAUGAUUUCACAGACCAAGACUGAUCACUGUGCUCAGACGUGCUGACACCUUUGAUUUCCCCAAACGCAGGAAGCUCAGCUGUGUAGUUGUAGUAUGCGGACUUGGUUCCCAUAUUCCCUG